rnacentral:rRNA from 1 species
CCCUUAGAUGUUCUGGGCAGCACGCGCGCUACAAUGGUCUUCGCAAACGGAUGCAUUCUCGAAGGAGAAUGCCAAUCUUGGAAUCUAUGCCUUGGUCGGGACAGUUGCUUGCAAUUUUUCGACUCGAACCAGGAAUUCCUUGUAAUCGUGAUUCAUAACAUCACGAUGAAUACGUCCCUGCCCUUUGUACACACCGCCCGUCGCUCCUACCGAUCGAAGAGUUAGGUGAAUUGUUUUGAUCGAUAAGAUUUGACUAUGGUCAACUCUCGUUGUGAAAUUCUGUGAAUCUGACUGUUUAGAGGAAGGAAAAGUCGUAACA